CAUCGCCUUCCUCCCCAGGGGGGUCACCUUCAGAGCGCGGGCCUCUGGGUUCCGAGGGUGCUGGUGACCUGAGAAGAAGGGAGGGGACAGAGGAGGAGACACACCUGAUCAGCCCGGGAGACUUUGGAGGAGGCGGGCCGGCCGGGAGGAAGUGGCGGGGAGGAGGGACCGGAGCACCCCAGGAUCGAAGAGGGCGCACGGGCCCGGCCCUCCCACGCGCCCUCCAGGGACCCGGCAGCCAGACAGACGGACAGGCGGACCGCUAGGGAGCUCAAGUACCCGGACACACGCACGAGCGCAGAACAAAGGGCCGGACAUGCUCCAGCCCGCUCCGCCUGCGCCUCGGCCUUGCGCGCGGGGGCCCGGGUUACCUGCGCAGUUUUAAAAAUAUUUUCCAAGAUCCCUUCAGUGAACAUGGGAUGCUUCCAUAAUGAAGAGAGAGACACACCGUGAUGACCUCCACAUACCAUAUUUGAUGACAGUCUUCCUUGAGCCAGCUGUGAUGUAAAGAAGUUUGUGCUGCAUGAGAGAGAUAGCACCUGAAGAAAAUGAGGCCCUGGAGGAUGAGAGACUCUAAAGGAAAAGGGAAGGGCCUGCUGUCUUCCAGCCACGCCAGCCCCCAACUGAGAAGCUGGGUGAAGCCAUCUUGCAUCUUUAGCCCCAGUCAAGUUACCUCAGCAAAGACUAGCUGACCCUGCCAAGCCCUGCCCAAGUUACAGAAUCAUGAGCAAAUAAAUGGCUGUUUCUGUUUUAAGCUUUUAAAUUUUGGGGGUGGUUUAUGUGUCAAUAAUAACUGAAACAGAUAAUAUAUACAGAAUAAACUUUAGUUUUAAUAAUCUAAGUAAAAGCCCACUAAUUCAUUAUGCAGAAAAAAAUGAUUUUUUUGAGACGGGGUCUCGCUCUGUUGCCAGGCUGGAGUGCUGUGGCACAACCAUAGCUCACUGCAGCCUCCACCUCCCUGGUUCAAGCGAUCUUCCCACCUCAGCCUCCCGAGUAGUUGAGACCACAGGUAUGUGCCACAACACCUGACUAAUUUUGUAAAUUUUUUGUAGAGAUGGGGUCCUGCCAUAUUGCUGAGGCUGGUCUCUAACUUCUGGGCUCAAGCCAUCCUCCUGCCUCAGCCUCCCAAAGUAUUAGGAUUACAGGUGUGAGCCACUGUGCCCAGCCAAUUUAACUUCUAUUUUAAAAAGACAGCCCCUCACAGAUACUGCUACAGCUCUGUUAAAUCAAAUUUAGCCUCCUUACAUAUUUUGAGUUUGACGUAAAGGUUUCUCUGUACAUAGUGAACUGUCACCUAAAUGGAGGUGUAAACAGCCUGUAAUCUACCCUUGUGCCAAACACCAAGUUUUGGCCAAUCAAAAGGGGCCAACUGUUCAAACCCUCUUCAAAUAAGGCAAACACUGAGCUGUAACCAAUCUGGCUGUUUCUGUCCCUCAUUUCCAUUUUCUGUACAUCACUUUCCUUAUGCUGCCCAUAAAUCUCUGAGCCUACUCUGGCUCAGAAUGCUGCCCAAUUUACCAAUCGUACUUUGCUAAAUUGAACUCUUAAAUUUAAUUUGACUAUGGAUUUUUUUUUUUGAGACAGAAAUUUGCUCUUGUCGCCCAGGCUGGAGUGCAAUGGUGCAAUCUCAGCUCACCACAACCUCCAUCUCCCGGGUUCAAGUGAUUCUCCUGCCUCAGCCUCCCGAGUAACUGGGAUUACAGGCAUGCACCACCAUACCUGGCUAAUUUUGUAUUUUUAGUAGAAACGGGGUUUCUCCAUGUUGGUCAGGCUGGUCUCGAACUCCUAACCUCAGGUGAUCUGCCCACCUCAGCCUCCCAAAGUGCUGGGAUUACAGGCGUGAGCCAUUGCGCCUGGCCUAAUUUGGCUAUGGAUUUUCUUUUAACAGCUCUUAAAGGGUUGUUUUUUGUUGUUGUUUUUUUUUUUUUGAGAUAGAGUUUUGCUCUUGUUGCCCAGGCUGGAAUGCAAUGGCUCGAUCUCAGCUCACUGCAACCUCCGCCUCCCAGCUUCAAGUAAUUCUCCCUCAGCCUCCUGAGUAGCUGGGAUUACAGGCAUGCGCCACCAUGCCCGGCUAAUUUUGUAUU
rnacentral:lncRNA from 10 species